rnacentral:rRNA from 1 species
GGAAGAACAAGUACCGGAGUAACUGCCGGUACCUUGACGGUACCUGACCAGAAAGCCACGGCUAACUACGUGCCAGCAGCCGCGGUAAUACGUAGGUGGCAAGCGUUGUCCGGAAUUAUUGGGCGUAAAGCGCGCGCAGGCGGUUCCUUAAGUCUGAUGUGAAAGCCCCCGGCUCAACCGGGGAGGGUCAUUGGAAACUGGGGAACUUGAGUGCAGAAGAGGAGAGCGGAAUUCCACGUGUAGCGGUGAAAUGCGUAGAGAUGUGGAGGAACACCAGUGGCGAAGGCGGCUCUCUGGUCUGUAACUGACGCUGAGGCGCGAAAGCGUGGGGAGCGAACAGGAUUAGAUACCCUGGUAGUCCACGCCGUAAACGAUGAGUGCUAAGUGUUAGAGGGUUUCCGCCCUUUAGUGCUGCAGCAAACGCAUUAAGCACUCCGCCUGGGGAGUACGGCCGCAAGGCUGAAACUCAAAGGAAUUGACGGGGGCCCGCACAAGCGGUGGAGCAUGUGGUUUAAUUCGAAGCAACGCGAAGAACCUUACCAGGUCUUGACAUCCUCUGACAACCCUAGAGAUAGGGCGUUCCCCUUCGGGGGACAGAGUGACAGGUGGUGCAUGGUUGUCGUCAGCUCGUGUCGUGAGAUGUUGGGUUAAGUCCCGCAACGAGCGCAACCCUUGAUCUUAGUUGCCAGCAUUCAGUUGGGCACUCUAAGGUGACUGCCGGUGACAAACCGGAGGAAGGUGGGGAUGACGUCAAAUCAUCAUGCCCCUUAUGACCUGGGCUACACACGUGCUACAAUGGAUGGAACAAAGGGUCGCGAAGCCGCGAGGUCGAGCCAAUCCCAUAAAUCCAUUCUCAGUUCGGAUUGCAGGCUGCAACUCGCCUGCAUGAAGCCGGAAUCGCUAGUAAUCGCG